UGGCCCCUGCCCCUCCCCAUGGCCCUCCCAGCACCGCCUCUGCCGGCGAAGGGGUAGGGUGCACAGGGCAGGGCCCGCCCUCUCUACCGGAGCAGCAGAUGGGAGCCUCCGCUCCAGGCUGGGAAGUCCUGGGAGGGGAGCUGGCCUCACUGCCAGGGCAAGAGGGUGAAUCAGGCGCUGGAGUUUUCCACCAGUACCUGCCCCGUGGCUUCAAGGCAGGGCUCUGAUCUAGACCUUCACAGGCACUGCACUUCCCUUGGGGUUUUCCUGGAAAAGCACUCUGAGCACAUCUUCGGAAGCACAAUGUAGAAAGGACACAGGCUUGCAGUCAGACACUCGGGUACCAUGUGUCAGUCAUGGCAGCCAGGAGUGGCCUCCAGAGGAAAGAGAGUUCCCCUUCCUUCUCCAUCUUCUUCCACUGGAAACUGCAGGAUCCGUCAGGGUUUCCCUUCCUGGCAGGGAAAGCAGACAGUGCUGACAGCUGCCCUCCUCCACCACCACCACCGUCUCUCCACCUUCAUUGGCUAAAGCCACGUCCAGGUCAUCCAGGUGCACACGCUUCCUUUCCCCGCCCUGGCCCGGCCAUCAGCAUUCGCACAGCCCAGUCUGCCAGCCCCACCUGGGCUGUUGGGGGCUCUCCCCUUCACCCCCCACCUGGUUUAAUGAUCUAAGGCUGUUUGGCACCAGUGACUGAAAAAACACACCCAUUACCCCACCUGAGCCCCACAACAAACCUGUGGAGGUGCCUCGUACCAACUCCACCUGAAAAACAGAGAACAUGAACUCCAAGCAGCUCCUGCAGAGACACGUGGCAAGGUAGAGGCAAGUGGGGUCUGGAACCGUAUCCCCUGCUCCUUACGCCCACAGGCGAUCACCACGCCCACAGGACUCCGGCCACCAUGCUGAGCUGUCUACAUCCCUCCCUAGGCUCGCAGGUUCUGGCAGCUUCGCGGGAGGAUGACAGAGAGCCGGGCAUGACGUGCUAGAGCAGCCUCCCCAGCCCGCGUCACCAGGCACCUUCCCACACCCCCGUUUUUCUGUCUCAUAGCUCUUUGCUCUUUUCUUCCGUAGCAUUUGUCACAUUUGUUGUUUAAGAAAUAGCAUCUGUUUUUGCUCCCCAUGCAGCACGAGCCUGGCGCACGGUAAGUGCUCUGUGAACCGUCUCAGCAAGGGAGCUGCCGCCGCACCACGGCAGAGCCUGGCGCCCUUGGGAAGCGCCCGGCCAGCUGUUCUCCAGGAAGCAGCAGCCAAGGCUGAACCCAGUGGGCCUGCUGUCAUUGCUUCUUGCAAACUCUUCAAGGGACAACAUAUCAAAACUUGAAGACUAGUAAAGAUUUCAGCGGAUUCCUGCUGACAUUUAAAAAACUAAGAAAAUCAGCCAGGGAACCUGCACGCCCUCAGACUGCGGCUCUAGGAAUUGCAGGGUGCUCCCUGGAUCGGCACCAGAAGAACCAUCUGAGCAGAGGCGGCAGACACCUCCGCACGCACGCAGUCAGGGGAAAUGCAGCCGCCACCUCAGACACACCCACAGCAACAGCCAGACACACAGGCCAGCUCCCGCCACCCGGUCGGAGCACACAGCCAGGGCAGGGGCCUGGGAGGCGUGGAGGGCGGCCUGACAGCCUCCUCUGCUCCACGCCUGCACCACCCUGCACCGCGGCCCCCACCUCUGCUUGGUGGGCCACCAGAGGGCCCGGGAGGAGGCAGGCUCUCGACGUGGGGGGCUCAAGGCCGCAGGCAGAGGGAUAGAAACCAGACAGAGCUGCUGGCAGCCGGGGGGAGAGGCAGAUUUAAUGGAAUGCAAGGUAAGAGGGCCUGUGGCCAACAAUGUUCUCACCCACCAGCCCUCGCCCAGCUCCCCAAGGCCCAUCUCAAAGGAUGCUCUUGAAAUCUGCAUUGCACUUUGCCCUUGGAGAGGAGAGCUGGGGUGGGAGGCCCCAGCUCA